rnacentral:rRNA from 1 species
GCUUGCUCUCUGGAUCAGUGGCGAACGGGUGAGUAACACGUGAGCAAUCUGCCCCUGACUCUGGGAUAAGCGCUGGAAACGGCGUCUAAUACCGGAUACGAGCUGCGAAGGCAUCUUCAGCAGCUGGAAAGAAUUUCGGUCAGGGAUGAGCUCGCGGCCUAUCAGCUAGUUGGUGAGGUAAUGGCUCACCAAGGCGUCGACGGGUAGCCGGCCUGAGAGGGUGACCGGCCACACUGGGACUGAGACACGGCCCAGACUCCUACGGGAGGCAGCAGUGGGGAAUAUUGCACAAUGGGCGCAAGCCUGAUGCAGCAACGCCGCGUGAGGGACGACGGCCUUCGGGUUGUAAACCUCUUUUAGCAGGGAAGAAGCGAAAGUGACGGUACCUGCAGAAAAAGCGCCGGCUAACUACGUGCCAGCAGCCGCGGUAAUACGUAGGGCGCAAGCGUUAUCCGGAAUUAUUGGGCGUAAAGAGCUCGUAGGCGGUUUGUCGCGUCUGCUGUGAAAACCCGAGGCUCAACCUCGGGCCUGCAGUGGGUACGGGCAGACUAGAGUGCGGUAGGGGAGAUUGGAAUUCCUGGUGUAGCGGUGGAAUGCGCAGAUAUCAGGAGGAACACCGAUGGCGAAGGCAGAUCUCUGGGCCGUAACUGACGCUGAGGAGCGAAAGGGUGGGGAGCAAACAGGCUUAGAUACCCUGGUA